AUUGUUUUUGAUUUCUUUCCCUUAUUUAUUGUUUUAAUUUUCUAGGUAUUCUCUUUUGAACGGGAGAGUUGUGUGUCACCCUAGAUCCCCAGAAACACACCCUACUUGUACGGGCAGGAUCCAACUCAGACUUGAUGAAGCAACUGUGAGGGAGGUGGACAUGGAUGAAUUAAAGAGGACGGAAAGCAGACCUUGAAGACAAAAGAAAGAGAGUACAAGGGAGGUGAGAUCACAGGGAAGGUGUGAUUGGUUCCAGAUGGGGAAACCACGGAAGGCUUCCUGGAGAAGGUAUACAGCUUUA
rnacentral:lncRNA from 1 species